UACGGGGGGGGGGAAGCGUUGUUCGGAAUUACUGGGCGUAAAGGGCUCGUAGGCGGCCAACUAAGUCAGACGUGAAAUCCCUCAGCUUAACUGGGGAACUGCGUCUGAUACUGGAUGGCUUGGAUUUGGGAGAGGAAUGCGGAAUUCCAGGUGUAGCGGUGAAAUGCGUAGAUAUCUGGAGGAACACCGGUGGCGAAGGCGGCAUUCUGGACCAAUAUUGACGCUGAGGAGCGAAAGCCAGGGGAGCAAACGGG
rnacentral:rRNA from 1 species